CCUACGGGAGGCAGCAGUGGGGAAUAUUGGGCAAUGGAGGAAACUCUGACCCAGCAACGCCGCGUGAAUGAUGAAGGUCUUCGGAUUGUAAAGUUCUUUUCUAAGGGAAGAAGAAAGUGACGGUACCUUAGGAAUAAGCCUCGGCUAACUACGUGCCAGCAGCCGCGGUAAUACGUAGGAGGCGAGCGUUAUCCGGAAUGACUGGGCGUAAAGGGUGCGUAGGUGGUUUGGCAAGUUAGUAGCGUAACUCCAAGGCUCAACCUUGGAACUACUACUAAAACUGUUGGACUUGAGUGCAGGAGGGGCAACCGGAAUUCCUAGUGUAGCGGUGGAAUGCGUAGAUAUUAGGAGGAACACCAGUGGCGAAGGCGGGUUGCUAGACUGUAACUGACACUGAGGCACGAAAGCGUGGGGAGCAAACAGGAUUAGAUACCCCAGUAGUC
rnacentral:rRNA from 1 species